rnacentral:rRNA from 1 species
AAAAGAAACUAACUAGGAUUCCCAAAGUAACGGCGAGUGAACUGGGAAAAGCCCAGCGCUGAAUCUUUCGAUGUUCGUGUCGUAAAGAAAUGUAGCGUAUAGGUAUGAUUAUCGGUUUGUUUAGCAUGUCCAAAGUCCCUUUGAUAGGGGCCAUUAUCCAGAGAGGGUGCGAGACCUGUGCGGACAGCUGAGCAUGCCGUAUGGUUAUACCUUGGAGUCGGGUUGCUUGAAAGUGCAGCCUUAAGUGGGUGAUAAACUUCAUCUAAGGCUAAAUACGGACGCGAAUUCGAUAGCAAACAAGUACUGUGAAGGAAAGUUGCAAAGAACUUUGAAGAGAGAGUUCAAGAGAACGUGAAAUCGUUGAAGUGGAACCGGAGAGAGUUGACGUAGUCUGAUGGAUAAGUAUUGCAAGUAUCGUAUUAACGUAUAUGAUCAAGCGAUAUGUAUGCCAUCAAUGACUGUGCUGACAAUAUCGACUACACGAUCCAAACUAUGUUGACAUGUUGCCCAUUUUAUUUAUAUAGAAUGGUGUCUUGUGUUACGUUUAGUAAGGUUCGUUGUAUGUUGAUGUUGAUGACAUGACGAGUUAUCAUUACGAUAAUUAUGUCAGCAUAAAAGUCAACCACCUCUCCGACCCGUCUUGAAACACGGACCGAGGAGUGUAACUUGUACGCGAGUCACAAGGUGGAAAACCUUAAGGCGAAAUGAAAGUGAAGGCACGGUUAACCGGCUGACAUGGGAAACGUGUUCGAAAUUCGUGACACGUCACACCAUGGCCCUGUCUUGUCUGCAUGCAGAUGGGCAGCGGUAGAGCGUACAGGUUGCGACCCGAAAGAUGGUGAACUAUGCCUGAGCAGGACGAAGUCAGAGGAAACUCUGAUGGAAGUCCGUAUCGGUUCUGACGUGCAAAUCGAUCGAUAGACUUG